rnacentral:rRNA from 1 species
CAGUAGCCGCGGUAAUACGAAGGGUGCAAGCGUUACUCGGAAUUACUGGGCGUAAAGCGUGCGUAGGUGGUGGUUUAAGUCCGUUGUGAAAGCCCUGGGCUCAACCUGGGAAUUGCAGUGGAUACUGGGUCACUAGAGUGUGGUAGAGGAUAGUGGAAUUUCCGGUGUAGCAGUGAAAUGCGUAGAGAUCGGAAGGAACAUCUGUGGCGAAGGCGACUAUCUGGGCCAACACUGACACUGAGGCACGAAAGCGUGGGGAGCAAACAGGAUUAGAUACCCCCGUAGUCCCUGUCUCUUAUAA